rnacentral:rRNA from 1 species
UACGGAGGGGGCUAGCGUUGUUCGGAAUUACUGGGCGUAAAGCGCACGUAGGCGGCUUUGUAAGUCAGGGGUGAAAUCCUGGAGCUCAACUCCAGAACUGCCUUUUGAUACUGAGGAUCUUGAGUUCGGGAGAGGUGAGUGGAACUGCGAGUGUAGAGGUGAAAUUCGUAGAUAUUCGCAAGAACACCAGUGGCGAAGGCGGCUCACUGGCCCGAUACUGACGCUGAGGCACGAAAGCGUGGGGAGCAAACAGG